rnacentral:tRNA from 1 species
GGGGUUGUGGCUCAACGGCAGAGUGCUUGCCUUGCAAAUUUGAGACACUGAGUUCAAUCCUCAGCACCACA